CGAGCGCCCCGCAGGGGAGCGGCAGACGGGUGAGUAACGCGUGGGAAUCUACCCAACUCUACGGAAUAACCCAGGGAAACUUGGACUAAUACCGUAUACGCCCUCCGGGGGAAAGAUUUAUCGGAGUUGGAUGAGCCCGCGUUGGAUUAGCUAGUUGGUGGGGUAAUGGCCUACCAAGGCGACGAUCCAUAGCUGGUCUGAGAGGAUGAUCAGCCACAUUGGGACUGAGACACGGCCCAAACUCCUACGGGAGGCAGCAGUGGGGAAUAUUGGACAAUGGGCGAAAGCCUGAUCCAGCCAUGCCGCGUGAGUGAUGAAGGCCCUAGGGUUGUAAAGCUCUUUCAACGGUGAAGAUAAUGACGGUAACCGUAGAAGAAGCCCCGGCUAACUUCGUGCCAGCAGCCGCGGUAAUACGAAGGGGGCUAGCGUUGUUCGGAAUUACUGGGCGUAAAGCGCACGUAGGCGGAUAUUUAAGUCAGGGGUGAAAUCCCGGGGCUCAACCCCGGAACUGCCUUUGAUACUGGGUAUCUAGAGUCCGGAAGAGGUGAGUGGAAUUCCGAGUGUAGAGGUGAAAUUCGUAGAUAUUCGGAGGAACACCAGUGGCGAAGGCGGCUCACUGGUCCGGUACUGACGCUGAGGUGCGAAAGCGUGGGGAGCAAACAGGAUUAGAUACCCUGGUAGUCCACGCCGUAAACGAUGGAAGCUAGCCGUCGGCAGGUUUACCUGUCGGUGGCGCAGCUAACGCAUUAAGCUUCCCGCCUGGGGAGUACGGUCGC
rnacentral:rRNA from 1 species